UCCGCCAUAGCUCAGUUGGUAGUAGCGCAUGACUGUUAAUCAUGAUGUCGUAGGUUCGAGUCCUACUGGUGGAG
rnacentral:tRNA from 2 species